CGCACGGAGCCAGGAAGGGCCUCACUCCCAGGGCAGUGGGUGCAGCCCGUGAGACGGCAGGUAAGCCCAGGGCCCCUCUCCUAGGAAGGAGGACCCCCCGAGUGGACAUCAAGGGCCAGGAAAACCUUGCCGGACCUCGGCCAAGGGAAACGGAGGUGGGGAAGGCCGCAAGUAACCAAUGAAAACUGACCAAAUUUGGAAAAAGAAACCCCUGGAAGUGGCCAGGGCCUAGCGGAGACGACCCCCCCACCCCCCACCCCCUGCGUCCAUCCAGGGCCAGGUCAUUGUGCAAGAAGCCGGGGGCAGAAUCGGGGCAGUGUGAGUCAGGGAGGGGCGGACAG